ensembl:snRNA U6 U6 spliceosomal RNA
GUGCUGGCUUUAGCAGCACAUAUAUUAAAAUUGGAAUGAUACAAAGAUUAGUAUGGCCCCUGGGCAACAAUAGCACACAAAUUCAUGAAGCAUUCCAUAUUUUU